rnacentral:lncRNA from 1 species
UUUUUUUUUUUUUUUUUUGCACUUCUAGCUAUACUCCAACUGAUGUGAUGAUGUCUACAUAUAUGCUGGUUUUCAGGGCUACUGGGUUAUUUUAAUUUUUUUUAAUUUAAAGAAUUAAUUUAUUUUUGUUAUGCCAAAGAAAGAAUCAACUAUACAAUAAUGUAAUAAGGUGUUUGUAUAAACUGUACUGUUAGGAGCGUUAUAAAUUUUAAGAAUUGAAUGUAUGUGUUUGAUAAAAUUUACUAAUUAUUACAAACAUAAAAUCUUCAAAUAUUUUACAGCUAAAAUCGAUUGUUUCUUCAUUGAACUUUCAUUUGUAUAUUAAUUAGAAUAUAAUUAAAUAGCUAAAUUAUAAACGACAUGUCAUACAAAUCUUUCUUUAAAUUUAAAAAAAAAAUGUACAAACUAUCAUCUCUUUAAUGAAUUUAAAAACGACAUGCCAUAUUUAUUAUGCUCUAGAAUAACAUAAUAGGAUUUGUCAUCCAUCAACUAACGAUAUAAAAGACACAUUUACUAUUUUAAAUUACCUUUACGCCAUGUCAUUAAUGUGAUGAAAUUAUAAAUGACAAGUCAUACAUCAAUGGCUAAAGAUUUUUUUCUCCCCUUUUUGGUCUUCCAACUUAACAAAAAAAUUUUGGACCACCAUCAAAAAAACCUUAAUGUCUACAUUUUUAAAUUAUAACCACUGUAAUUAUUAGCACAAAGGUCACGGCAUUUUCAGCACCUUCAUCAUCAAACGGUAGAGCGUUAAUAACUAAUGAGAAAUUCUUACAACUUAAACAGUGUGUGCUCCAAUGGUAGGAGCUUUGUUUUUUACAUUUUAAGUUUAUUCCGUUGCAUAAGCUGUCGUGGAAAAUAACUGCCCUUGGUUCAAUCAUCAACUGCCCUGAAAAGACUUGGAAAUUUUGAAGUUUUAUUGUUCCAACAGUUUUUAGCUGAAGCAACCAUUACUGUUAUCAGUUAAAAUUGCGGAAACUCACAAUUUGAACAAAAUAAUAAUAAUAGUGAUGAUGGUAAAAAUAUCAACAGUACUAGAAGAACUAUAUACUUGUACUCAUGUAAAGACAGAAUUGGAUCGAGUGUAUUGAUAGCUAAUUUUAAAACACUGAUCAGGAGUACAGUUAAAUAUAUUCCAAUAGAUAUUUAUAAUUAAACUAAUAUCAAGAGGACAAAAAAACAAAAGGAAAAAGAGAGAAAUAUACAAUUUAACUUCCUAUCAUCUUUUUGUAAAAGUUUUUUAAAUAGAUGUUCAACACACUUCCUAGGUCAGAAGGGGUCCAUGCCCCUACCAGUCUCCAGUGCCACAAUGUUCAGUGCCCAUGUUUUUCAGUAGCCUAUCAUGAGAAUCUACACGUGAAUUUAUGGAAUUUUUCCAUUCUUUCCCAUACUCAUUUUGUGUUCAAACCCUGUACGUAUGUGACAUGUAUUGAGGGCAUACUUGAAGUCAAGCAACAGAAAUCUCCUCCACACCGCUGAGAUCCUCAACAAACUGUGCUUUUGUUUCCAAAUCAAUGAACUGGUUGGACUUACUAGCUAAGUGCGAUAUGCUAACUCUUCCCUGGCGCUUAAUGUAGUCGGCUACAGCUUUCAUCUCUUCCUGUGAGAUGUAUAUGUAUUUUCCUCUAUCAUCCAUGACACCAGAAAGUCGCCCUAUUCAAAGAGCAAAUUCACAGUUAAAUUCCUUAGCAAGCAUUUUACAGAACAUAGCUCCAUAUCAUAAACCACAAAUAGAAUGAAAGAACCAUUCAAGUUUAUCUAUGACGAGGUAAAAACAUAAUCAAAAUUACCAAGGAUCAGAGACAAAACCUAAACUAAGGUCAACCAGAAGGAAAUACAAUGACAUUCCAUUAAUCAGGAAGGGCUGCUAAUGGUUUCAAGGAUAAGAAACUCUAAAGCAAAAAAUAUAUAUCGACAUAAGACAACUUAGAAAAAUUGAAAGUUGAGAGCUUAAAUACAAAAGUUGCAGCAAUGAGCCAUCAUUUAGAUUUUUUUUUUUUUUGUGGUUUGAGAAGAGCCAUCAUUUAGUUAAAACAACAUAUUCAUUAAAAUAAAUAAAUAAAUAAAAUACAAGAAAUGGAAGAACACAUACCCAUAUUUUCAAGAGAGGUAAUCCGAUUGAUACACUCCUGCAUGGACCAAAAGUUAUAACACAACAUUAGGAAGCAAUAUAUUGUACAAAACUAUGAAACUAUGACAUGAUUAACCACAGUGCAUAAACACUAUUUGACUGAGAGAUGUGUUCAUAGAACAGAUACUACAAAAACAUCAGCUUCUUAAUCUCAUUGAUCAAAAUAACAAAUAAAGAUCUAUAUGCACAUUGGUAGUCAUGAUUUAAGAAUACUCCUUCACUGCAACCAGCUGGGGAGAUAAGAGGGAAAUAUUUUGUUUACGCAGAAAAAAUAUAACAAACAAAAUAAAACAGCUCUACCAGCAAGCAUUUACCUGGGUCCGCAACUUAAAUUCUGCAGCAAGAUCUUCUAAAGGAAUACAUUUGUGUUUCUGCAAGAUCAUAUUAGGAAUAAAAACAAUUAGCACCAAAACCUGUACCCAGAAGCAAGAAGCUUCAGUGCCAAGCAACUGUGACUUACAUAUGCUUGCAAGAUUACUCCUAAAGCAUUACCAAGUACUUCCUAAAAUACUGUUCAUCUCAAACGUUCCAAUUUACCACAAAGCAAAUAAAUUGACAAUUAAAUCUUAUUGGAAUAGCAAUUGCAAUUUCUCCCACUCACUAAGUACAGUCAAAACACUAUUUUUCAAAGGUAAAUCUCCCCGAUGAUAAGUAGAGAGCUGGGUAGUACCUUUAUAUACUCCACGAAGUCAGCCAGCAAGUCCCGAUCUCCAUCUUGCACUUCAUUUUCUGUAGUUCCUUCAGCAUCAAUUGAAAAUUCCCCUUUCCACUUCUCAAACUCAAACGCAGCUGCUUCCUCCUCCCUUGCUUUCUGAGCUUUAGCUUCUUCUUCCUUUUAAGUCAUGGCAAGGAUUUUUAGCCAGAAAAUUACUACAAAAACACAACAGACAUACAAAAUAAAGCACCACCAAAAGAAAAGUGAUCAACUCACCAGUGCACUCUCCCGUGCUUCACGCUCCUCAUCCUUCCUCCUCCGCAUUUCUGCAUAACGGUCUUGUUUUGACUGCCUAGACUCACGAGCAGCUUCAUCCGCCUUCAAAUCAAACAUAUCAAAAAGCAAUGGAAAAGAAAGAAGAAACAGAAACGAUGUGCAUAGACAGACCAAAAUAAGCGGUAAAGAGUUUGCUCUAGUAUCUUUCCUAGUUGAAGAUUCGUAACCUUCUAAUACUCUAUGGAUAUCGAAGAUAUAUGUUUUGAGAAUGACUCUGUUACUAAAAAUGCCCAUUUAAAUGAAACCUUCACUAUUACAUCUAAAGGAAGAAGAAAAGUUUUCUUCAAAAGUUCUAAAUAAUUUUGUUUAGAAUUUCAUUUAACUUUAAAUGACAUUCAUUGAAAGGUGGCCUUACUCAAGACAGAAAAGGGGGAAAAAAAGCAUGAAAAAUAAGAAGAGAUAGAAAAUGUACCUGCCGUGCUGCUUCCUGCUCUUGCCGUCUUUUCUCCUUCUUCUUUGAUGCUUUAGCCUCAUAAUGUCCACCCGCAACACCUUCAUCAUCACUUCCUUCAAUAGUUUCUGUGUUCAGAUGUGUACAACAAUUAGUACAUUCAAUAUAACCAGUUUUCAAGAUUUUUCAGAUUACUCAAAUGUAAUACAUUAUUAUUCCAUCAUGACAAGGCUUAUGAUAGCAUAUGUUCACUAUUCACUCAAAAUUUACAAAGCUAAAAAUCCAAAAACAUCUCAAAUACAGGAUCUCAGAACAAUUCCAAAACAAACCAAAAGGCAAAAAUAUCAUCCACUAUACUUGCUUCCAAAAGCUUUCCAAAUUACCCUAACAGUUAUUAGAAACGCUUCUUUGCAUUUUAAUGUAACCCAUAUUUGGCAGAAACCAAUCCAAAAAUAUAUAUAUACCACAAUAGCUUGAAAACACAAUAGCUUGAAAACACAUGAGCAAGAGAGUGAAAAAAAAUAAUAAUAAUAAUAAUCGUAUAUGCAAAACAGAACACCAAUAACCUUCUACUUCUGCAGCUCCAGCUGAUGAUGUGCUAGCUCCAGCAGCUGGUCUUCGACGCAUCCGACGAGCACCAGUUGCACGUACCAAAUUCUCCCUCUGAUGUACCUGUGGAGCCUGUAAUCGAUACUACACAUUAAGAAACAUAAACCAACUCCAUCGGACAAUGCUCUUAGAACUCAGAACAUAUUCUUGCAAACCAAAACCACAAACAGCAGUAACCAAAACCAUGAACAGCAGUUCAUUAGCUUCAACUUAAAAAAUACAAUAAAAAAUUAAAAUCUGCUUCAAAAUUAAGCAUCAGGACAACAGUUACAAUCAUAACCAGAAAGACACACUUGACUGUCCUCAACAAUGCUUUGAAAAAGCUGUUACUAGAAACAGUCUUUGAAGCUCAAUCUAACAAUUCUAGUUUACAUGCUCGAAUUCGAGUUAAAAUCUUCAAAAAGUUAAUCAAUUAUGUCUUAAUCGUAAAAUUAAAAAGAAAUACAAUCUUACAAACCUCCUGUGGCUGUUCUCGAGAAUCCGAGCGACGUUUCCACAAAUAAAUUGGAAUCAAAGCGAAAAUUAGCAGCAUAGACAGAACCAGAGCAAAAAUUUCCUCCAUCUUUCGAUUUAUUUAGCUGCCACUAAUCACAUUACAGUAACCAAAAGUCAAAUUAUUCAAGUACUCCUCGAAUCAUUAUCCAAUAAGAACGUUAAAUUUUGAAAAUUAGAAUAAUACAAAAUCUAGACUUAUAAGGAACGAUUUUGGAGAAAAAGCAAAGGGUUAGGGUUUGGGUUAAGAGGAAGCAAACCUGGACAGAACGGCGACGUUUUGCUGAUUCUUCAAGGCGCGUGUACGCGUGCAGGAGGUGGUUGUGGUUUUCGUUCCCGGCGUCUUACGGUGAAGGAAAAAGAACGGAGUCCCACUUCUGUCCCCUCUGGCUUUUAUUUUGACCUUUUUUUUUUUAAUUUGGGUAAAUAUAUUUCCUUUUAUAAUUGUUAAAAAAGCGAAUUGCAAUUCAAUAAAUAACUAUAUACACACAGGCAUAGAGGGUGAAUGAACAUAUCAAAGUCGGUAAUAAGUUAUAUAUUAAAAUACAUUAUAUUAAAAUUUAUAUUUUUUCCGUGUUUGCUUUUAACUUCAAAUAUUUUGUGCUACUUUUCGUGCUCAUUAGCUAUUUCUAUACAAACAUCAUUAUACCUGAAACUGACAACCUCAAUAAAUAAAAAGGAGAUAAUUUUUUUCUAAUAAUUUACAAUAAUAAUCCCCUUAGGAUUCUUUUACUAUUUUAAUAUAGUUGUUGGUAAAUAAAAAAAUAAAGAUUUUAAAAAAUAAUAAGAUAAAAUAUAUUAUAUUAAAUUUUUUAUUUUUAAUUUACUUUUAUUUUAAUAAAAUAAUAAAUAUUUAUUAAAACUUUACUUAACGAACUUAAAUAACUUUUACGUACUAAUUCCUGCACUAAAUGAUUACUUUCUUAGGCUAGUAGCCUAAUAGGCACAUUUAUUUACUUGGUUUUGGAUUGUAGGAUUUUUCCUACACAUUAUGAGAUUUUUUCUUUUAAGAAAAAAAAAAUUAGAAGCACAUAUCAGGAUACAUUGAGAUAGGUCCUAAUAUGUAAUUAAGGAUACGAUAACCAACGGUUAUUAGGCACCAAGGUCACGAGUUAUCUUAUUUCUCUCUAUAUUAAAGAUUAAUCUGACACACACACCACCUAUUACAGCAAUAGAGCCCACAUCCUCUUAUUGAUAUGUUGGAACGUUGCAUAUUCCAACUCUCAAAUUAGAGUUUUAACACGACAAAAUAGUUUUCAAAACAUUACGGGAUUUCAGUAAUCUACAUUUAUUUCCCUUGUGACAAGAAAUUCUACCCAGUUUUAGGAGCCUGAUUCGGUAUCUCAGGCAUUAUGCUGGGAAAUUGAACGAGCUAUUGAUCUCGGCUUUUCAACAGCCUAACAUGGACUGAAACUGGGGUUCUUAUAUGUACACCAUUCAAUCACUUAAUUUUCACCAUAAAAGGUCCUUACGUAAUUUCUCAAUUACAGCUUAUUACUCCGAUCAUCACAAGAUCAUAUCGAAGUUAAUACUUGCCCUAGCAACAAAAACAGAGUAAGCUCAGAUCUUCAUCAUUGAUCUUAAUCACAUCAGCACUUUCCCAUUGGCUGAUGCCUCAAGUUAUAAACAUACAAAGCAAAGAAAAGGGAACAGCCCAAGGGCAGUCUUACACAUAACACAGAUAACAAGGACUAGAUACGCAACUGCAAAUUCACCUCCGAAAAACUCACAACGGUUUCUUACAAGAGGAGAAAGAAAUUAAAAUUAAAGGUUCCAUGAUGGACCGGAAACAAACACUUUAUUCACAAAACCUCACAACAUUAUCUCAUUAUUCGCAUCAACCAUCCAUCACAACCACCUAAAUACAACUACUUUUUUGCCAGAGUUUAUUUGCAUGCACACAGCUGAUGAGUGAUGAUGCCUGUUAUUACCAAAUUAAGCAUCAGCAGUCUCAGCAGAAUCAGCUGCAGCUAAGAUCAGCUCAGGGUGAACGCCUCCCACAUAUGUACCGUCUAAUGCAUUCGGCUGGCCCAGUGACUUCAACGCCAAAUGCGCAGCCUUCUGCCCCGAUAUCAUCAUUGCUCCAAAUGUUGGCCCCUGCAUUCAGAUUCUUACGUUUGUUACUUAUUUGUACACAUUAUCAAACAUUAUAUCAAGAAACCGUUUUAAGAUUGAAGAGCAGCAACUUUCUUAAUCUAAGGCUGCUAAGAAACAGAGUCGUAAGCAUAUGUACCAUUCGAGGAGCACCAUCAAUCUCGGCAACUUCCAUGCCGGUAACUAUCAUACCAGGCACAACCUCCCUGGUCAGCCUCACAAUAGCAUCUUCUGCAGAGUUCAUGUCCAGUGCCUUCAUUCCAGGCACUUCCUCAAUCAUUCCGAUACUCUUCAACCUCUUUACUCCAGUGGCCCCAAAAGGCCCAUCAUGGCCACAAGAGCUCACAACCACCUUCGCUUCCAUUACAUUGGGAUCCAUGCAAGACUGUGUAUCGUGAUUCAUUGACACCAACGCCCAGUUGGUCACCACACCACCAACUCUGCCGCCUUUGACUAUCAAGUCCUCGGCUGCCACUGCAUUAAAGAGCUUGACGUUGGGGCGGGCCAGGAGCUUGCUCAUUAUAGUGGAGGUGAACAGCGCUGCAUGCUUGAUCACAACAUAGUUGUCUUGCUCAUCGUAGUCGAUGCCAAGCUCGUCAAGGAAGAUGUGGGCUGGUUUGCGCACAACCUGUUCAAAUUACAGGCAAUUCAAUUAACUCCAAUUUAGACCUAGAUUGUUUUGUACGAAAUCUCGGAUACUCUGUUGUGUGGCAGCAAUUCUAAUGAAGUGAUAAAAUCAAAUCAUAAAGGUUUGAUUUGUAUGAGACAUAAAUAGAAUAUUAAGAGUCCAAAUAUGAUACUAAUGCGUUACAGGUGACCCAAAUUACAAAACUCCUCAUUUAACCAAGAUAUUGUCCCAUUUCACUCAUCUCAAUAUUAAAGUGAAGAAAUAACUCGAUUCCAAAUCGGAAUUUCCAAUAAUUAGAUAAAUAAAAAUAAACUUAAUUAUUUCCUUAAUAAUGACAAGAGGGACCAUCAGACCCACCACCCUCCAGCAAGUCUCUUUUUGACACGAACUGAUGUCCUUAACAGAGCUUUUUGGAGAUAUCUUUAACAGAGCUUUUAGCAUAUAAUUAAUUAUUAUCAUAAGCCAUAUACAGAACUAUAAAGCUUACUUAAAUAAAAUUUUUGGUAGUAGAAUUUUUCUAAGUUUUUAUUAAAAAAAUUUAAUUAUUUGAUUGUUAAUAAAAAUAAUUUUUAUUAAAAAUUAUAACUUUAUUUUAAUAAAUAAAUUUUUUACAAUCAUGUUACGAAAAGAAAUAAAAUAAAAAUCUGCUGUACGGCCAAGGCGGAUGUACGGUACAGCAGUACAAUCAUGUUACGAAAAGAAAUAAAAUAAAAUUAUGGAAUAAAUAAAAAAAUUUAAAUAUAUAACAUUUUUUAAAAAUAUUUUAACCUCCAGAACAAAAACUCAAAAUUUAAAUUUUUACUAAUAAAAAGAAAAAAUUUAAUUAAUCUUAAAAAUAUUAUUUAAAAAAUAAACAAACAACAACUAAAAAAUUUUAAAAAAUUAUGAUAUUAAAUAAAUAUUUAUGAUUAUUUGACAAAACAUACCAAAUAAAAAAAUUAACGUUUAUUGUUAACAACAAGCAUUAUGAUUGAUAACAAAGAAAAAUUGCAAUUUAUUAUACCAUGGCAGAGAAGAGCUGUCCACCGAGCCACGCGCCACCGCCGGGGCUAACAGACUGUUCGAUAAUAGCAAUCUGAAUGUUGGGGUUUUUGCUGAGCUCAUAAGCACAAGAGAGGCCAGCAGAGCCAGCACCAACCACUACCACAUCAGUGUCAGCAUAAGUGAUCAUGUCCGUCAUGUACCUACAGACACAUAAGUGCUUUUAAAUUUAAGUGUUUCUACAAAAUCACUUUUGAACAAAACCUAGCCCUAGUGAUUAGUGUGUGUGCGCUUGCUUGCGUGCUUGUAUAUACCUGCGUGUCAUUUCACGAGAAACAAUGGAUUCUUUGAUGGGGUCAAACUUGAAAGUGUUCAAGUCAUAAGGAGGAGAAGCAGAAGCAGAAAUGGACAAGUUGUUGGGACGAGAAGAUUUGAUGGGUUGAAGACGUAGAAGAGAAGGUGACAUGGGAGCCCCAUGAAAGGAUGAGUCAAAGAGCUUAUUGGUGGUGGACGAAACUGAAGGAGCGAAAGCUGUAGAAGCCAUGGCUGCCAUGGUUUUUUUUUUUUACCCCUCCUUCCCCUGCUGCUUAGAAGUUUGAUAAUGAGAAGUAAUUUGAUUUGCAGCAGUGAUGAUGACUGGUGAGUCACGGUGGGUGGUAGUGGGAUUUUAUUAUUAUAUAGAGAGGAGAAAAGCGGCGGUGAAGGAAAAUAUCUGGGGACACGUGGAAAGAGGAUAGGGUUUGAAGGGUCUAGAAACUCGGUAGAGAGGACAAAAAUUUUGCACGUUCGAACUGCAAAGCUUUUGGUUAAUUGAGGCAGCACUCCCUGUUGUUUAGUAAAAUAUCAAAAUUAGCAAUGAGGUUUCAGAUUUUCAAACUUGUGUUAGAAAAAUGAUAUUUUAGAUAAAAGGACGGAGUAUAUUUGGUUAAAAAAAUUAAAAUAAAAUACUGAUAAAAAUAAUAGUAAAUUAGACUUAAUUUACUUAUUUAAUUACAAACACAAUAAAUUAGAUUCAAUCUAACGUUAUUUCAUUAAAGUAAUAAAACAAACCAUCAUUAAUAUAUUAUGAAUAAUUUUUUUGAUUUAUUUUUUUUUUGAUACACUGAUAUAUAAUAUAUUACAAUUAGAGUUCUACUGAUAUUUACAAUAAGAAGUCAGUCGGGACUCUCCUGAAUAAUCCUAUUGUGGCACAGUCUGAAUAUCAACCCUUCACUUAAAGCUGAAAGGAGGUAUGCCCUCAUUAUUAAUACCGGAGAAAAAUAAAUUCUACCCUAAUGUAGGGAGACUAUUCAACCCCUAUUAUAAAUUGUUACUUAUAUGAUAUUGAGAAGUAUUGGUUGAUAUUUUCAUUAACAAUCAAACAGUAAUUUAUACAAAUUAUUUUAUAAAAGUUCACAACACUAAAGAUUGGUUGAAGUAAAAAUAAUACAUAUUCUCCAUUCUUAAUCUAAAGAUAUGAACGGAACUAAAUGGCUUGAUCAUAUGAAGCAUACUCCGGCAAAAUAGUUCCUUUAAUAGAAAACUAAAUCAAUCCUUAAUUGAAACAUAUGAUCUUUAACCCUUUUUAGAUAAUUUGAUGCCCUGUCGGAGUGUUUCGUUUAGGCCAAGAUUUUGCUUGCCGUUGAUGAUUCAGUUGAUUUGGUGGAUUUCCCUGCAGUUUAUCAUAUAGAUUUGAAUCCAAAAUCGGAACAAAGCGCACGAACCGGGUCACAAUAAGGAAGACUUGGUUGGAUAUGAACGAAAACUACUAAUCUUUCUUGUAAUUUCACAAAAGAAACGGAUUCACGUGUCAAUUACCCACAGCUUUCUCUGGUUUUCGUGCAAGUGGCGUGCCGGUUCCGGUAAAGCGUAAACUGGACUCCACCGUCCAAUUGCGGAGUCCUGCAAUUGUCACUCGCUGUCAUCUUGUCGUUGUGUUAAUAUUUGGCUACUUAGGCUUUUGUGAUGAUUUUGAGUUUUGUGAUCUUGGACUGAAGCUUUUGUCGUGUAGUGAUUCCGUGAGAUAUCUUUUGACGGGACAGGUGAAUUUAUUGUUGGGUAGGCAAAUUAUCAGCAAACAUUAAGAAAAAUAAGUAAAUUACAUAUUUUAGGUACAUUUUUCAUUAAUUAAGAAGAAAUGGAAAAAAAAAAAACACAUAUUUCUUUGAUUGAUUUUGGAAAACAUUACUAUUUAAACUCAAAUAACAGAAAUUUUUUGAUACAUCAGGUACCAGAUCCAUAUAAAAGUCUCAAUAAUAUCAUAUAAUAUAUGCACUAAUUAAUUUUAAAAAUUACGAGAGCAAGCUAGCAACCACGUUCAAUAAAUAUAUGUACGGGCAAAUCAGUAUUUAUUGAGUAAUUCUUAUUAUUUUUCACUAAUAAAUAUAUGUACGGUACAUCAAUAUUUUUUGGAUAACUCAUUUUAUUUUUCAGUAAUAAAAAACAUUCAACGUCAACAAAAUUAAGGCUAAUUUGUAUCCCCUUAUAGAACCCCCAAAUAGUAAAUUUUCUUCUAAAAUUAUUAAUCGAAGUACACAUCUCUCUAAUUAUUAAUUAAAAAAAAAGGAAAAAAGAACUAUUCCAAGAUCAACAUGCUAAGUGUUAUAAAAAAGGAAUCCCACAUGUCCUAUGUAUAUAUCAACUUGAGCAUAAGUAAUUGUGUUUGAUUUGUCUAUGGAUGAAUGAUUAAGAAAUGUGGGCGAAAUUGGUGAGCGACGGUGGUGAUGAAAAUGGGGCUCAACCAAUGUCCUAAAAUGUUUAGUGUUUGCAAGCUAGAUUUCAAUAGAAAUUACGUAUGACAUAAUAUUUCUAAUGGAAAAAAGAUAAGAGAAAACUUGCGAUGGUUCUUUUUCACAGCUAAUGUCCUGAUAACUUCCUUAAUAUUAUUAUAAGACAUCAUAAUCAUCACCACUACAUGAAAUCCUUUGUUGAAUAAGAAAUUUUUUAUUUUUUAUUUUUUUGAUGCAUACAACUGGCGACCCAAACAAUCGACAUCAUGUAUUUAUUAUGAAAAGAACUGAGAAAUCUGUGCCCUUUGAAUGAAUUCAAAGCCCUAACAGAUAGAAUAUGAAAAGCUUUUGAUGACCCACUUUCAAGAAAUUGCAUCUCCCAUCACAACAUUGUAAUUGACCCAGCGCGCCCUCA